UCUACAGUGUCCAUCUUCUCAUUUCUGGAUAUGUGGUCUCACUAUUGCUUUAUAUCUCACUUCACACUUAACUCGUACAUGUCAGACACAUAUCAUUCACUUAUAACAGAUAUGUGUAUGAUCUUUUGCAUAUGAAGAGAAGUUAUAGAAUACACCUGUGUUGGAUAUGGGUAUGUAUCUGCUACUUGUUAUGAGUCUGAGCAACAUAGUGUUAGUAUGGGCAUCUUAGUCAAUAAUGACAUCUCGAUUCAGUAUGGAAACGUCUUUAAUUUCAACUCAAGAUUAAAUGACUUUCUGACAUCUCGUUUAUGAAUGCAUUUUAUUAAUUUUAUGCUGAACAUGCUUUUGUGGUGUGAUGCUUAUUCCUACCAGAGUUUUUUCACAAAACUGUAUAUGUUUUACCUGUUCAUUUUGUUCAUUUGAAUAGGAAACUUAGGUUAACACAAAUAUUUUGCAUGAGGACUAGUGCUUUUUGGUCCUCCACAUCCUUUGUAUUCAUUUUAUAACCCUUUGCUUCUUUCUUUCUUUUUUUGUUAAAUAUUAAAUUUCUUGUUCUUGAUGCUGGAUUUUCAGUUACUGAAGACGUUUUACUAUUGAUUUUUCUUCUUAUUUUAGUUUUAUGUCUUGCAAAUGUUUAACUACUUAUUGCAUCCUCAGGUGAAAAGGAGAAACU
rnacentral:misc_RNA from 1 species